rnacentral:lncRNA from 1 species
UGAACUGACAGACAAAGGCUGGGAGCUGGAAACUUCUGAAGGCUCAUUCACUUGCAUGUCUGUCAUGAAGCUUCAGGGCAGCUCCAGCUGAUGCCAGGGACUUCUGGAGUCCAUUACAGAGCUACUCAACCCACGGCAGUAAUCCUCCCUCUGAGAAUACUACUGUAAUCCUCAAGUGCAGAGUAGAGACUACUGUGCGAAAGAACUCGGGAAAGCAGCAGGCAGUCUGGAAUGGCAAUGGGAAGAUCCAAAGGCAGCAAAGGCUUCUCUCCGCCAUGUGAAAGGCCUGAGUUUAGAUACUUCAGGGAAGUUUUAAUGCCAACCUUCUGUAAAAUCCCCAUUCUCUAAUGUAUGGCUUUAAUUAACAAUCAUGUAUCAAUAUUUGUUAAUCAUAACAAAUGUACCAUACUCCUGUGAGAUGUUAUCAACAGGAAAAAUUGAAGGAGAGGUGCAUGGAGCUCUGUACUAUCCUUGCAAUUUUUCUGUAAAUCUAAAACUGUUGUAAAAAAUAAAGUCAGGGGAGGAGCAAAAAGAAAAAACGUUUAUUUUUUAUUGAAAAGAAAAACCCUCAUUCUCCACAGCCACAUCCAUAUUUCAGAAUUGUUCUUAGAAACUUCCAGAAACAAUUCAUUUACUGUAUAUAACAUUAUGGCCUAGAUUAAACUGAUCAGUAAUUAUUAAUGCUUAACGUUAGUGCGGAAGCUCAAAAAUUAUAUACUAGAGUGUUUGUGUAACUCUAAAUCUUAAGAUACAUGUCAG